GGGCGAAUGGCGGAAUUGGUAGACGCAGCAGACUCAAAAUCUGCCGGCCGCAAGGUCUUGGGAGUUCGAGUCUCCCCUCGCCCA
rnacentral:tRNA from 1 species